GUGAAUUUAGUAAUUUAUUAAUACUCUCUUUGAUGUUAAUGAUAAAAAUAAAUAUACAAGUAUAUAAAUAAAACUCUAAAUCUGAUAGUGGCUUUAAUUUGUUCUGAAUGUUCGGUUUUGUUUUGUUGUGUUUAAAAACCUUAACCUAAGUUGAAUUGCAUUGCUAAUGGUCCAAAAGGAAUGAUUUGAGCAGUUUGUUUCUGAACUCUGUAGGUUACUUUACCUAAUUAUAAAAUUUUGAAGAGAGGGAGAGACCCUUUGUUGUCAUGUGACAUGAACAAACGUGUAUAAGAAUAGCAUGUACCCUUCUGGAAGUAAUUAGGUGCAAAAUGUAGUAUACCACUGAAUGCUGACAAUAAUCCAAUAAUUUUGGAACCUAUUUCUGCUAAACUUCUGGCUUUAAGAGCUUAAAGUCCAUAUAUUAGAAAAUAAUUGGGCAGAGUAUCAAUAAAUUUUUUUGUUUUGAAUCGAAAGAAUUUGUGUGCUUAAUCUCUUUUUAAGUUUAUUAAAGUGUGUAGAGGAGAAUAGUUUAUGUCUCCCAAGAGAGUUCGAAGUAUUGUUUAACUGAAUGCCAUGUUUGAAACAAAAUGUCUCUCUGCAAUAGCCUUUUUCUCUGCUACUUAACAAGUCAUAUACAUGAAUCAAACUAGAGAUAAUGUAAGGAUGUGUGCCUUAUUCUUCUGUUUACAACUCCUGAAAAUGAAUAGUGGGCAAGCUCCUAACUUAUGAGGGUUUAAGGUAGGC
rnacentral:misc_RNA from 1 species